AGAGAGAGACAUGCGCGCAUAUCAAUAAGCGGAGGAAAAGAAACUAACAAGGAUUCCCUUAGUAACGGCGAGUGAAGCGGGAAGAGCUCAAAUUUGAAAUCUUCAAGGUUUUACCUUGACGAAUUGUAGUUUAAAGAAGUGUUUUCUGCUGAAGUUUUGGUAAAAGUUCUUUGGAAUAGGACAUCAUAGAGGGUGAGAAUCCCAUAUUUGACCAGUUAUUUUCAGCUUUGUGAUACACUUUCAAAGAGUCGGAUUGUUUGGGAAUGCAGUCCAAAAUGGGUGGUAAAUUUCAUCUAAAGCUAAAUAUUGGCGAGAGACCGAUAGCGAACAAGUACCGUGAGGGAAAGAUGAAAAGAACUUUGAAAAGAGAGUUAAACAGUACGUGAAAUUGUCAAAAGGGAAGCGUUUGACACCAGUGUUGUUUUCUCGAAAAUCAAUUAAAAAUGGCUCGAUUUUGUAUUGUUGAGACCUUAAAAGCUCACUGUACAUUUUUCGUGUCUUUUUUAAUGCACUUUCGUUUAACAAGUCAACAUCAGUUUCUUUUGUUGUAAAAGGGUCAUUGGAAGGUGGCUUUCUUUUCGGAGAAAGUGUUUAUAGCCUUUGGCCUCUGCAGUCGGAGAGACUGAGGUCUGCAGCGUAGACUCUUCGGGGUUAGAUACAUUUGUGCUAAGUUAUAGCUUUUAUAGACAACUUGUUGACUAUAAUUAGUCUUGUAGCUUACUCGCUUAUGCUAUUUUACCUACGCUUAGGAUGUUGAAGAUGUAGCACAUCAU
rnacentral:rRNA from 1 species